CCAUUUAAAGUGGUACUUGGAAUGCGCAACUUGUCAUUUCAGGUACGGAAAGCGUAAAAGAACUGAUCAUCCAUCUAUUCAGGUUAUGUUUUCCCUGCCAUCCUAAACUCUUAGCAAGUACAAAUAAAAUUGUUGCAUUUCCAUUUCAGCCAAACAUUCAAUUUGGGGUACUUCCAAUAGCUGGCUAAACCACCUGAUAAUUUAGAAUAAGAUAUUCAAACUAUGUGGUUACACCCAAAAGGUUUUCUUCAUGUUUGUAUUCCAUAUUUGGAUUUCAUGCAUAUAGAUGUAAUAAUGCUUUUUUAGUAUCUUCCAGGUAUUGACCUUAGUUGUUUUUCUUUCUUUAUUUUAACACACGCACUCAUAUCCUGUGCAGCUAAAGUGAGAUGGAGUCGACUGUGGCAGACAUGAAUUAAGGAUUUUCAACUGGGACUCUUGAUGCAUGAAUGAUUUGUGGAGUGAAGGGAGCUGAUGGAUUCUAGAGGAUGGCCAACAAGGGCAACAGCCUGGAGCUGCACUACCGGCACCACCACCACAGCAUAGAGGUGGUAAAAGGAGCAGCGGAUCCAGCAAGGGACGGCAAAGCAAUGACAAUGGCCGUGGUCGCCGGUAUCAUCCAUAUUGAUUUAUCUUUGAUGACCCAGCACCUGCCAGAUUUCAGGCUGAAAUCCAAUCACAACCAUUGAGGGCCUGCAGUUCUAUAGAUAGCAACUCAUUCCUGCAACAACCUGCUACAGCCUACAGCUAGGCAAA